GAUGAACGCUGGCGGCGUGCCUAAUACAUGCAAGUCGAGCGAACAGACGAGGAGCUUGCUCCUCUGACGUUAGCGGCGGACGGGUGAGUAACACGUGGAUAACCUACCUAUAAGACUGGGAUAACUUCGGGAAACCGGAGCUAAUACCGGAUAAUAUAUUGAACCGCAUGGUUCAAUAGUGAAAGACGGUUUUGCUGUCACUUAUAGAUGGAUCCGCGCCGCAUUAGCUAGUUGGUAAGGUAGCAGCUUACCACGGCAACGAUGCGUAGCCGACCUGAGAGGGUGAACGGCCACAUUGGGACUGAGAUACGGACCAGACUGCUAGGGGAGGCAGUAGUGGGGAAUAGUGAAAAAUGGGCGGUAGGCUGAUGCAGCAAUGCAGGGUGCGGGAUGACGGAGUUUGGGUUGUAAACAGCUUUCGCAUGUGACGAAGCGUGAGUGACGGUAAUGGGUAAAGAAGAACCGGAUAACUACGUG
rnacentral:rRNA from 1 species